GGACGGGGUGUAAGGCAAGGAGGAGUCCCAAGGACCAGCAACUCAAGACACUUGUGAGAGCAACCACAAAUAACCAAGGAUCCUUCCCUCUUUCUUAAAAGAUCAAGAUGGAGUGGUUGUGCCCUAUAAUCUUCAAAGUUGCUGGAGCCUUACCGAAGGAUGAAUCAAUGGACAUUGAAGCUGUUAUUUCUUUUAGAGAAUAGCAGGACUGGUCUCUUGUCUUCUCUCAUUGCGCAAGUUAGUAAAUACACAUAAAUACA